CUCACUCCCAGCGUUCCGUCUCCUCCAUUCUCUCUCGCCUGCUUUUGAAAAAAAUCAAAGUUAAUGUAGGACAGUCAGCGCGAAGCGCAAACGUGGAUGAAAAUGCGCUUGCUUGAAAUUAGACUGGGAAUUCAAGACCUCGGAAAUCUCUGACUUCAGGCAAUUUAUGUUCAAGACAACUGGGAACUCAACUGGGAAAAAUCUUUUGAAUGGUCGUCCAACUCGGAAUUCCAACUCGGCAUCUCGAACCUUUUUCUGAAACUCCGACUUUCCGACCCGAAGAUCACUGAUGUCAUGAUUUGACCUUGAUUUUUCCAAGUCCCCUGUUUCAACAGUCCUUAUCCACUUGCGUGUUAUUAUGCAAAUUACAUUUACAAGGGUGGAUCCCAAAAGCCGGGGCGCAACUUUCACUGGGGACAUGUCCCCCCCCCCCAUACUGAAAUUGCAUUUUUGUCCUCCCCCCAGUUUCAUCAUUGGAAUGUGAUACAAAACAAGGCAACGGUGUGCUUUAGGACCAGCCGACACCUCUGAGCGGUCAGGUUGGAGUGUCUAUCUGAUUGUAAUUAGGACUACACAGACACCACAGAGCGGGCUGACAGGUGGUGUGAAGGCAAAACUUCUGGAAAGCUGGCUGGACCAGCACGGGAGAGUUGAGCAUAGUACAGUGUGUACGUGUUGCACUCUUUCAUCGAGUUGUAAAAGGAAGCAAAACAGAAACGGGCUACUAUUUAGUUGACUGAUGUAGCUGGCAAGAUCCUGAAUCUCCUCCUCAAGCAAGUCGUCCAGAUCCUGAGGCAGCAAAGCAUCCCCAAACCAUCACACUACCGGUCUUUCCCACCCGUACGUACACACCUCGGGUGGCAAUACUUGAAGAUCUGAUAACAUUCAAUAUCAAAAAUAUGCAAAAGUAGAAAAAAAUCUGAACGGAGCAUAUACUUUUUCACGGCACUGUACAUGUUGGGGUAUGCUAUUCACAAGGACAUAUUGUUCCGUCUCACGAUUCCAGAGCAUGAACCGGCACAGGGGAUACUCAGUGUUCUUCAUGGCUAUAUUGACGAAAAACAGAUUCCAUAGGAUCGAAUGGUGGGCUUUUGCACAGAUAGGGCUCCAUCUAUGGCGGGUAGGCAGGCAGGCCUCUGCAUUCUUGUUAUGAAUGUGUUUCUCUCUGCCAUAUGGAUGCAUUGUAUGACACAUGAGAACAACUGGCGGCAAAAGAGCUAAGCACAGAACUCUUGAGAUAUACUGCAGCAGGUAACUUCGAUUGUAAACAUGGUUGGGUAGGUUACUUUCUAAAUGUAAUCCUGUUAGUUACUAGUUACCUGUCAAAUUGUAAUCAGCAACGUAACUUGGAUUACCCACACUCAGUAACAUAUAAACUGAUUACAUUCUCCUUAAGAGGCAUUAGAAGACAAAAAUGUAUGUUACCAAUUGAAUGACAUCUGUUUCAGGAUAAAUCAAUGUUACAUAUUACAUAGCUGGCCAUAUAUGGAUGUAGGCUUCUUCUAACCCAUCGCUUUCUACUACAUAUAAUAAAUCUAUGAUUAAAUUACAACUUUACAUUAAUAACCAAAGUAUCAGAAUUCUAUUCAUUCCAAUAAAUGUUAUACCCCUUGAUCUUCAAGAAUAAGACUUGGCAAUAUGGAUGUAUAGAUUACCCAAAUUGUUUUACCUGAGCAUAACCCCAAAACUAAGGCUCAUUGAUUCGAGUUGAAAAAUAAAUGCUGUUUUUAUGGAAUGGCAUGCUUGGAGCACUACUGAAAAGUGAUAUUUACAUGUGAAAAAUUAAUUCUGCAUUUGCUAUAGGCCUAAUGUAUGCCUUUUUGUUGGUGAGACUUUGAUAUCCUGGUAAUAUGCAGCUGUUUAAAGGGCAAAUCCACAGAAGAAACAAUGACAAAACCCUCACCCCACCUCUGUUUUGGUAAAAAGCUGAGGGAUGGGCCUGGAGAAAUGUAACCACUCUCAGAUUAAUAGACAGGGCUAUGGAUGCAAGGAAUGACCAUCCAUGAUAUCAAAAUGAUUGUUUUAACCAUGUUAUGAGGCUACACAGUGUUUGUUUAUAUCUACAAUGUUUACAAACAUUGGAGAAAAACAAGUUUCUAUUUUGGGUUCUCAUGGAGUGUGACAGUUGAAUUAAGCUCAUGAGGCAUUUUAUAAGUUAUAUUAUUCAAGAAUCAAUGGAGAUAUACAGUACCAGUCUCAAGUUUGGACACCUACGUUUUUCUUUAUUUUUACUAUUUUCUACAAUGGUGAAGACAUCAAAACUAUGAAAUAAAAGUGUUAAACAAAUCAAAAUAGAUUUCAGAGUAUUCAAAGUAGCCACCCUUUGCUUUGCACACUCUUGGCAUUCUCUCAACCAGCUUCAUGAGGUAGUCACUUGGAAUGCAUUUCAAUUCACGUGUGUACCUUGUUAAUUUGUUGAAUUUCUUUCCUUCUUAAUGUGUUUGAGCCAAUCAGGUGAAGCUGGUUGAGAGAAUGCCAAGAGUGCAAAGCUGUCAAAGCAAAGGGUGGCUACUUUGAAGAACCUCAAAUAUAAAAUAUAUUUUGAUUUGUUUAACUUUUCUUUGGUUACUACAUGAUUACAUAUGUGUUAUUUCAUAGUUUUAAUGUCUUCACUAUUAUUCUACAAUGUAGAAAAUAGUAAAAUUAAAGAAAAACCCUUGAAUGAGUAGGUGUCCAAACUUUUAACUGGUACUGUAUGUAUGUAUGUAUGUGUGUGUGUGUAUAUAUUUAUAAGUCCAAAAAUGGAUGUAGCAACUUUAAGUCUAUCAAGUUUGAGUGGAUUUUUUUUUAUCAGCAUGAAUUAGAUUGAGCAAUAAAAGCCCCACGUUUAUUCCAUAGGCUGGGCUGUAGCCUACAAAAGCCUAUUCCUACUCUUAUCCCGCAAUCCAUCAAACCCAUUUUGUGUGCCAUCAUAGUGGUCUCUGAUUUGUGGUCAGACUUUUUAUUUAACUAGGCAAGUCAGUUAAGAACACAUUCUUAUUUUACAAUGAUGGCCUACCCCAGCCAACGCUGGGCCAAUUGUGCGCCGCGCUAUGAGACUCCCAAUCACGGCCGGAUGUGAUACAGCCUGGAUGGAACAAACGUAAACUUGCGCCUUUUUCAAUGCUGAUUUGAAUGUCAUUGAGAAAACAAGUGUCAAAGAUUUUUUUUUUCGCAAACAUCGUUUAUGAAUUUAAAAGUAAUCCUCGAAGUAAUCUAGUUUUUCAAAAGUAUCUAAUCUGAAUACACUACUUUUGCUGGUAACGUAACGGUUUAGUUACCAUUUUUAUAAUCCCUUACAUGUAACGGGUGACAUGUAAUCCGUUACUCUCCAACCCUGAUUGUAAACUUUAUACUGUGCAUCAAACCACAUCCACUGCACGCACGCCUGUUCGCAAAACUAUGUGGAGAUAUGGGAUCAGAGCAUGCCAAUGUUCUAUUUCACACCGAGGCUUAGUUGUUAUCGAGGGGGAGUGCUGAAAAGACUUCCGCAAUGAGAGAGGAACUGUUGUCAUUCACAAUGGAUGUAAAACAAAUGACUUGGUUGAUUUUCUAUGUAAUGAA
ensembl:lncRNA